UACGUAGGAGGCGAGCGUUAUCCAGAUUUAUUGGGUUUAAAGGGUGCGUAGGCGGCUUUUUAAGUCAGCGGUGAAAUUUUGCAGCUUAACUGUAACAGUGCCGUUGAUACUGGGGAGCUAGGAUUUGGUUGCUGUGGGUGGAAUGUGUGGUGUAGCGGUGAAAUGCUUAGAGAUCACACAGAAUAUCGAUUGCGAAGGCAGCUCACAAAGCCAAGAUUGACGCUGAGGCACGAAAGUGUGGGGAUCAAACAGGAUUAGA
rnacentral:rRNA from 1 species